CGGAGGGUGCAAGCGUUAUCCGGAUUCACUGGGUUUAAAGGGUGCGUAGGAGGGCAGGUAAGUCAGUGGUGAAAUCUCCAAGCUUAACUUGGAAACUGCCGUUGAUACUAUCUGCCUUGAAUACCGUGGAGGUGAGCGGAAUAUGUCAUGUAGCGGUGGAAUGCUUAGAUAUGACAUAGAACACCAAUUGCGAAGGCAGCUCGCUACACGAAUAUUGACUCUGAGGCACGAAAGCGUGGGGAUCAAACAGGAUUAGAUACCCUGGUAGUCCACGCCCUAAACGAUGGAUACUCGACAUACGCGAUACACAGUGUGUGUCUGAGCGAAAGCAUUAAGUAUCCCACCUGGGAAGUACGACCGCAAGGUUG
rnacentral:rRNA from 1 species